rnacentral:rRNA from 1 species
AGAGUUUGAUCAUGGCUCAGGACGAACGCUGGCGGCGUGCUUAACACAUGCAAGUCAAGGGGGCCCUGCAAUGGGCAACCGGCGAACGGGUGCGUAACACGUGAGCAACCUACCGAACUGUGGGGGAUAGCCGGCCUAACGGCCGAGUAAUACCGCAUACGCUUUCAAUGAGGCAUUUCAUUGAAAGGAAACCUACGGGACAGAUCGAGGGGCUCGCGGCCUAUCAGCUAGUUGGCAAGGUAACGGCUCACCAAGGCAACGACGGGUAGCUGGUCUGAGAGGAUGGCCAGCCACAUUGGGACUGAGAUACGGCCCAGACUCCUACGGGAGGCAGCAGUGGGGAAUCUUGCGCAAUGGCCUAACGGCUGACGCAGCGACGCCGCGUGUGGGAUGAAGCUCCUCGGAGUGUAAACCACUGUUGCCCGGGACGAAUAGCUCGAUUAAUCGAGCCUGACGGUACCGGGUGAGGAAGCACCGGCUAACUCCGUGCCAGCAGCCGCGGUAAUACGGGGGGUGCGAGCGUUGUCCGGAAUCACUGGGCGUAAAGGGCGCGUAGGUGGUUUGAUAAGGGUGUGGUGAAAGUCCGGGGCUCAACCCCGGAUCUGCCGUGCCGACUGUCAAACUCGAGGGCUGUAGAGGCAGGCGGAAUUCCGGGUGUAGCGGUGGAAUGCGUAGAGAUCCGGAGGAAGACCGGUGGCGAAGGCGGCCUGCUGGGCAGUUUCUGACACUGAUGCGCGACAGCGUGGGGAGCAAACAGGAUUAGAUACCCUAGUAGUCC